UCUAACGUCGUGGCAGGGGCGGCGGUAGGAGGUGGGGGUCGAGGGUUGUGCGGAAUUGUGGGGCGUAAAGGGCUCGUAGGCGGGUGGGUGCGGCUAGCGGGAAAACUGGAGGCUUAACCUUCAGCUGGCGGGGGAUACGGGCAGACUUGAGGUCGGUAGGGGAGGCUGGAAUUCCUGGUGUAGCGGUGAAAUGCGCAGAUAUCAGGAGGAACACCGGUGGCGAAGGCGGGUCUCUGGGCCGAUACUGACGCUGAGGAGCGAAAGCGUGGGGAGCGAACAGGAUUAGAUACCCUAGUAGUC
rnacentral:rRNA from 1 species